GCUAGUGUAGCUUAAUUUAAAGCAUGACGCUGAAGAUGUUAAGAUGAGUCAUAGAUUGUCUCCACAAGCA
rnacentral:tRNA from 1 species